UGGGGAAUUUUGGACAAUGGGCGCAAGCCUGAUCCAGCCAUGCCGCGUGCAGGAUGAAGGCCCUCGGGUUGUAAACUGCUUUUGUACGGAACGAAAAGCCUCUUUCUAAUAAAGAGGGGUGAUGACGGUACCGUAAGAAUAAGCACCGGCUAACUACGUGCCAGCAGCCGCGGUAAUACGUAGGGUGCGAGCGUUAAUCGGAAUUACUGGGCGUAAAGCGUGCGCAGGCGGUCUUGCAAGACAGUGGUGAAAUCCCCGGGCUCAACCUGGGAACUGCCAUUGUGACUGCAAGGCUGGAGUACGGCAGAGGGGGAUGGAAUUCCGCGUGUAGCAGUGAAAUGCGUAGAUAUGCGGAGGAACACCAAUGGCGAAGGCAGUCCCCUGGGCCUGUACUGACGCUCAUGCACGAAAGCGUGGGGAGCAAACA
rnacentral:rRNA from 1 species